AUUAGAACGUUCUCUCCAUUCCAGAAUGUGAUUGUUACGUAACAGUACAUUUAAUCCGCGCUGCCCUAAAACCAAGGCACGCAGCCUAUUUUUAUUUAUAGGCUGUUUUCAACUUGGCCAUUUUAAAUUUUCUAACAAGUUUUUUAUUUUCUAAUAACAGUUUGAAUUGAGGUGUGUUCCGUCUCAUUCAUUCACAUAAAAGUAGUCAUUUUUACUUUUGCGGACCAAUUAAUUUUUCUGACAUUCCUGACCCGGCCAGAAUUCCCCAAACACUUCUCAAUUGUUUGUGCAGUUCAAGUCUGCAGACAUUUGCUCAUCUGCCGUCCUGCAUACACGUGUCCACAUUUUCCAUCUGUUGCCUGCAUCGCAAUCAAAGUUGUUUUCAUUACCAAUAAUAACUUUGGAAAUGUGUGCGUUUCUAUCAAAGUGGUCCACCUUCCCUGUGGCCGACAUGGUUGCUGUAUGGACAGCGGAGAGGACAUGGACGUCUCGUUUGUCAUGGCACUUUACUGCCAGUUGUUGACAUUUCUUAUUUUGUAUCAUUUGGUCAUUUAGGAUGGCAGUAGCGUUGUUGAUGAAAUGCAGUCAUAGCAGCAGAACUAGAAAGCAGUCUUGGGAAAAGAGGGUGGCAAAGUUGGUCUCUACAAUGUCUCCCACCAGCUCCUCUGUCAGAAACAACUUGAAGCACUCUGCCUCAGAUGGAAAUGGCAAGGGACGUUGCACUCCAGACUGGGACUCAUCAACACAAACAGCUGGCCAGGAGGGGUGAAAUGGCUGGCAGCCUUCCAGCUACCACAGAACUCCUGUACUUCAUCCACUAUCCGUCUGCCUCCAUCACCACCUUCAAAGGGAACUGGGACUUUGUCAGUGGACAAGGGGUCCUCAGUCACUGUCAGAAUCUGAUUCCUGACUUUCAGACUCAUUGUUAGAAUUUUUUUAAAUCUCCAGAAUUUCCGCAUUUCUGAGUUGUCUCCUUUUGAAAAACAUUGCUAAUGCUACAGCUUAGCUCAUUAGCUACAUACAUAAACAACAACACUGAAUGGCUCAGAGUGGGAAUGAGAGGUUACGUGUGACUGCCUGCACGCACCAUUUGUAUCAAUAAAUCACUAUCAGAAA